CCAAUAGCGUAUAUUAAAGUUGUUGCAGUUAAAAAGCUCGUAGUUGAAUUUCGGGAUCGAAUUGUUGGUCGUGCUUCGGUACGCACUGGCAUUAUUGGUUCCUACCUUCUGAAGAACCGCGAUGUCAUUAAUUUGGUGUCGUGGGGAAUCAGGACUGUUACUUUGAAAAAAUUAGAGUGUUUAAAGCAGGCUUACGCUUGAAUACAUUAGCAUGGAAUAAUGAAAUAGGACGUUUGAUUCUAUUUUGUUGGUUUCUAGGAUCGACGUAAUGAUUAAUAGGGAUAGUUGGGGGCAUUAGUAUUCAAUUGUCAGAGGUGAAAUUCUCGGAUUUAUUGAAGACUAACUCCUGCGAAAGCAUUUGCCAAGGAUGUUUUCAUUAAUCAAGAACGAAAGUCAGGGGAUCGAAGACGAUUAGAUACCGUCGUAGUCCUGACCGUAAACGGUGCUAACUAGCGAUCUGCCGGUGACCCAUUCAAAGUGGUCCCGGUAGGGAGCUUGCG
rnacentral:misc_RNA from 1 species